GUGUGCGGGCUGCAGUUGUUUUUGUCUAGUCGAGGUAAGCCACGUGGUUCCAAGCCAGAGCUUGACUGCAUUGUGGACUGACUACUUUUAAUUUCUACGCAGCUCUUACGUUUACUGUCACGGAACCACGAGGCGUGCAGGCUGCAGUUGUUUUUGUCUAGUCGAGCUCUUAUGGUUACUCUCACGGAACCACAAAGCGUGCUGGCUGCAGUUGUUUUUGUCUAGUGUAGCUCUUAUGUUUACUGUCACGGAACCAUGAGGCGUGCUGGCUGCAGUUGUUUUUGUCUUGUCGAGCUCUUCUGUUUACUCUCACGGAACCACGAGGCGUGCUGGCUGCAGUUUUUGUCUAAUCAAGAGCAAACCUUCAUGUGAGGCCUGCAGCAGGGCAAACAUCUGUGGGCACGCAGUGGUAUCCAAGAGGGAAGGGUCCAUUGCUGUGGAUUCUGCAGCUACAUCAUCACUUUAUGUGGUCACCUUUUCUAUAGUAUCUUUAAAUUAUGUAAGGUCUGCAUGUCCUUUAUUUUAUUAGUCAAUAAAGCCGCUUUGUCAUAAGA